rnacentral:rRNA from 1 species
GACUACCAGGGUAUCUAAUCCUGUUUGCUCCCCACGCUUUCGUGCAUGAGCGUCAGUACUGGCCCAGGAGGCUGCCUUCGCCAUCGGUGUUCCUCCGCAUCUCUACGCAUUUCACUGCUACACGCGGAAUUCCACCUCCCUCUGCCGUACUCUAGUUAUGCAGUCACAAACGCAGUUCCCAGGUUGAGCCCGGGGAUUUCACAUCUGUCUUACAUAACCGCCUGCGCACGCUUUACGCCCAGUAAUUCCGAUUAACGCUCGCACCCUACGUAUUACCGCGGCUGCUGGCACGUAGUUAGCCGGUGCUUCUUCUGAUGGUACCGUCAUCCACACCCUGUAUUAAAAGAUGCGAUUUCUUUCCACCUGAAAGAGCUUUACAACCCGAAGGCCUUCUUCACUCACGCGGCAUGGCUGGAUCAGGGUUGCCCCCAUUGUCCAAAAUUCCCCACUGCAGCCGCCCGUAGG